AUUGAACGCUGGCGGCAUGCCUUACACAUGCAAGUCGAACGGUAACGGGCCUUCGGGUGCCGACGAGUGGCGAACGGGCGAGUAAUACAUCGGAACGUGCCCGACCGUGGGGGAUAACGAGGCGAAAGCUUUGCUAAUACCGCAUACGAUCUACGGAUGAAAUCAGGGGACCGCAAGGCCUUGCGCGGACGGAGCGGCCGAUGGCAGAUUAGGUAGAUGGUGGGAUAAGAGCUUAGCAAGCCGACGAUCUGUAGCUGGUCUGAGAGGAUGAUCAGCCACACUGGGACUGAGACACGGCCCAGGCUCCUACGGGAGGCAGCAGUGGGGAAUGUUGGACAAUGGGCGCAAGCCUGAUCCAGCCAUGCCGCGUGCAGGAUGAAGGCCUUCGGGUUGUAAACUGCUUUUGUACGGAACGAAAAGCCUUCUUUUAAUACAGGGGGGUCAUGACGGUACCGUAAGAAUAAGCACCGGCUAACUACGUG
rnacentral:rRNA from 1 species